AUUGAACGCUGGCGGCAUGCCUUACACAUGCAAGUCGAACGGUAACGGGCCUUCGGGUGCCGACGAGUGGCGAACGGGUGAGUAAUGUAUCGGAACGUACCUUUCAGUGGGGGAUAGCGUAGCGAAAGUUACGCUAAUACCGCAUAUUCUGUGCGCAGGAAAGCAGGGGAUCGCAAGACCUUGCGCUGAUUGAGCGGCCGAUGUCAGAUUAGCUAGUUGGUGAGGUAAAGGCUCACCAAGGCGACGAUCUGUAGCGGGUCUGAGAGGAUGAUCCGCCACACUGGAACUGAGACACGGUCCAGACUCCUACGGGAGGCAGCAGUGGGGAAUUUUGGACAAUGGGGGCAACCCUGAUCCAGCCAUGCCGCGUGAGUGAAGAAGGCCUUCGGGUUGUAAAGCUCUUUCGGCCGGGAAGAAAUCGCACGGGCUAAUACCCUGUGUGGAUGACGGUACCGGAAUAAGAAGCACCGGCUAACUACGUGCCAGCCGCCGCCGUAAAAC
rnacentral:rRNA from 1 species